GUCACACUGCCAAGAAAAGCUUCUAGUGAGAAAGUAACUGCCCGUACCGCAAACCGACACAGGUAGUUGAGGAGAGAAUCCUAAGGUGUGCGAGAGAACUCUCGUUAAGGAACUCGGCAAAAUGACCCCGUAACUUCGGGAGAAGGGGUGCUGACCGCAAGGUCAGCCGCAGUGAAUAGGCCCAAGCGACUGUUUAUCAAAAACACAGGUCUCUGCAAAAUCGAAAGAUGACGUAUAGGGGCUGACGCCUGCCCGGUGCUGGAAGGUUAAGAGGAGAGGUUAGCGCAAGCGAAGCUUUGAAUUGAAGCCCCAGUAAACGGCGGCCGUAACAAUAACGGUCCUAAGGUAGCGAAAUUCCUUGUCGGGUAAGUUCCGACCCGCACGAAAGGCGUAACGAUUUGGGCACUGUCUCAACGAGAGACUCGGUGAAAUUAUAGUACCAGUGAAGAUGCUGGUUACCCGCGACAGGACGGAAAGACCCCAUGGAGCUUUACUGCAGUUUGAUAUUGCGUGUUUGUAUCACAUGUACAGGAUAGGUAGGAGCCGAAGAUACCGGGACGCCAGUCUCGGAGGAGGCAACGGUGGGAUACUACCCUUGUGAUAUGACCACUCUAACCCGCUGCUCUUAGCGAGCAGGGAGACAGUGUCAGACGGGCAGUUUGACUGGGGCGGUCGCCUCCAAAAAUGUAACGGAGGCGCCCAAAGGUUCCCUCAGAAUGGUUGGAAAUCAUUCGUAGAGUGUAAAGGCAGAAGGGAGCUUGACUGCGAGACCUACAAGUCGAGCAGGGACGAAAGUCGGGCUUAGUGAUCCGGUGGUUCCGCAUGGAAGGGCCAUCGCUCAACGGAUAAAAGCUACCCUGGGGAUAACAGGCUUAUCUCCCCCAAGAGUUCACAUCGACGGGGAGGUUUGGCACCUCGAUGUCGGCUCAUCGCAUCCUGGGGCUGUAGUCGGUCCCAAGGGUUGGGCUGUUCGCCCAUUAAAGCGGUACGCGAGCUGGGUUCAGAACGUCGUGAGACAGUUCGGUCCCUAUCCGUCGCGGGCGUUGGAAAUUUGAGAGGAGCUGUCCUUAGUACGAGAGGACCGGGAUGGACACUCCGCUGGUGUACCAGUUGUUCUGCCAAGAGCAUCGCUGGGUAGCUAUGUGUGGACGGGAUAAACGCUGAAAGCAUCUAAGCGUGAAGCCCCCCUCAAGAUGAGAUUUCCCAUCACUUUAAGUGAGUAAGACCCCUGAGAGAUGAUCAGGUAGAUAGGUUGGGAGUGGAAGUACAGCGAUGUAUGGAGCGGACCAAUACUAAUCGGUCGAGGACUUAACC
rnacentral:rRNA from 1 species